GGAAUAUUGGACAAUGGGCGCAAGCCUGAUCCAGCCAUGCCGCGUGUGUGAAGAAGGCCUUCGGGUUGUAAAGCACUUUCAGUGGGGAGGAAAGGUUGGCGGUUAAUACCCGUCAGCUGUGACGUUACCCCCCGAAGACGGCCCGGCUAACUCCGUGCCAGCAGCCGCGGUAAUACGGAGGGGCCGAGCGUUAAUCGGAAGUACGGGGCGUAAAGCGCACGCAGGCGGUUUGUUAAGCUAGAUGUGAAAGCCCCGGGCUCAACCUGGGAAUCGCAUUUAGAACUGGCAGGCUAGAGUUUUGGAGAGGGGAGUGGAAUUCCAGGUGUAGCGGUGAAAUGCGUAGAUAUCUGGAGGAACAUCAGUGGCGAAGGCGACUCCCUGGUCAAUAACUGACGCUCAUGUGCGAAAGUGUGGGUAGCGAA
rnacentral:rRNA from 1 species